CAGAAAGCUAGCAUGCUAGGUAUCAGUCUAGAGGAACCAUCAGAAAGCUAGCUAGCUAGCUAUCAGUCUAGAGGAACCACCAGAAAGCCAGCUAGCUAGCUAGGUAUCAGUCUAGAGGAACCAUCAGAAAGCCAGCUAGCUAGCUAGCUAUCAGUCUAGAGGAACCAUCAGAAAGCUAGAUAGCUAGGUAUCAGUCUAGAGGAACCAUCAGAAAGCCAGCUAGCUAGCUAUCAGUCUAGAGGAACCAUCAGAAAGCCAGAUAGCUAGCUAUCAGUCUAGAGGAACCAUCAGAAAGCCAGCUAGCUAGCUAGGUAUCAGUCUAGAGGAA